rnacentral:rRNA from 1 species
CCUACGGGAGGCAGCAGUGAGGAAUAUUGGUCAAUGGGCGAGAGCCUGAACCAGCCAAGUCGCGUGAGGGAAGACGGUCCUAUGGAUUGUAAACCUCUUUUGCCGGGGAGCAAAAAGAGGUACGCGUACCGCAUCGAGAGUACCCGGAGAAAAAGCAUCGGCUAACUCCGUGCCAGCGGCCGCGGUAAUACGGAGGAUGCGAGCGUUAUCCGGAUUUAUGGGGGUUACGGGGUGCGCAGGCGGCGAGUUAAGUCAGAGGUAAAAUUUCGGGGCUCAACCCCGACAAGCCGUUGAAACUGGGUGGCUAGAGUGGGGGAGAAGUAUGCGGAAUGCGUGGUGUAGCGGUGAAAUGCAUAGAUAUCACGCAGAACUCCGAUUGCGAAGGCAGCAUACCGGCGCCCAACUGACGCUCAGGCACGAAAGCGUGGGUAUCGAACAGGAUUAGAUACCCCAGUAGUC